UGUAUUUGCUCCUUUGCAUAUAAUGACGUUCUCAAAGAAACAGAAGGACAAUGUUUGUUGCCCCUUUGGCGUCGAGCUUGUGCGGCACACAACGAUUGGAGGAAGCCGGAUCAUCAUCAAUAUGCUAAUGAAAGCAGGAGCUGCGGUCGGAGGAUCGGCGUUAUGUUUACCAUAACGCAAAAGAUUCGGCAGCAUUAUACAGGGAGAACAAUAAACAAAGGCAGACAGGACACGGACAGCGAGCCAAUCAGAAUGCAAGUAGCCAC